GUGAGGAAUAUUGGACAAUGGGCGGGAGCCUGAACCAGCCAAGUCGCGUGAAGGAAGAAGGAUCUAUGGUUCGUAAACUUCUUUUGCAGGGGAAUAAAGUGCAGGACGUGUCCUGUUUUGUAUGUACCCUGAGAAUAAGGAUCGGCUAACUCCGUGCCAGCAGCCGCGGUAAUACGGAGGAUCCGAGCGUUAUCCGGAUUUAUUGGGUUUAACGGGUGCGUAGGUGGUUUGAUAAGUCAGCGGUGAAAGUUUGCAGCUUAACUGUAAAAAUGCCGUUGAAACUGUCGGACUUGAGUGUAAAUGAGGUAGGCGGAAUGCGUGGUGUAGCGGUGAAAUGCAUAGAUAUCACGCAGAACUCCGAUUGCGAAGGCAGCUUACUAAGCUACAACUGACACUGAAGCACGAAAGCGUGGGGAUCAAACAGGAUUAGAUACCCCAGUAGUCC
rnacentral:rRNA from 1 species